UACGUAGGGUGCAAGCGUUAAUCGGAAUUACUGGGCGUAAAGCGUGCGCAGGCGGUUUUGUAAGUCUGACGUGAAAUCCCCGGGCUUUAACCUGGGAAUUGCGUUUGGAGACUGCAAGGCUGGAGUCUGGCAGAGGGGGGGUAGAAUUCCACGUGUAGCAGUGAAAUGCGUAGAGAUGUGGAGGAACACCGAUGGCGAAGGCAGCCCCCUGGGUCAAGACUGACGCUCAUGCACGAA
rnacentral:rRNA from 1 species